rnacentral:lncRNA from 1 species
GAAGAAUUUAUACUCAUACGUAGUCUGGUAGUUAUUCAUUUAAAUCCAAAUUACAAGCUUUUGGGUUUAUUCAUUUAAAUCCAAAUUACAAGCUUUUGGGUUUCAUUUUCAUGCCUGCAUGCACUGAAGGCCAAAAUAUAGGGACAGAAAGACGAAGACAAUUGUAGUACUUCUGUUGCGCCUUGGACGUCUACGGAUGGUUGCGCGGCGGCCCCUUAAUAGGAGGACAGUCACUGACGGGGCCGGAAGCACAAUUCCCUCUCCCACUCGCUUCUGCUGCAAUAGCCAUUAUAAUGCAUGAGCUACUGAACUCCACGCAAUACAAUAGAAUUUUUAUUGUCUAACAUCAAAAUUCUAAUAAUACCCUCAAUGACCUAUAUAUAAUAAUGCUAGAAAGAUAACCUAAUUUAUUGUAAAUAAUUCUAUUGGAUUCCAACCAUUGGAGAUUUGAUGACCACCAAACACAAACGACAACAUAUUUAAUAACCACAAGGCGAUUAGACCCAAGCUUUAUGAAAAAAAUUGACAAUUUUAGAUUUAGCAGCAUUCUCAUAUUACCAGAUAUCUCCAAAGAGACAAUUUUAGAGUUUGCAACAAUCUCUCAAGAUCUCACUAAUUAUGAAUAUUAUUUACUAGUAUAUUAGUUAACAAAUAUCAUAAUGACAUUGCUAGUUCUCAGCACUUCAAGUUAUAUGCCAUAUAAUAAAAAUUUAAUACGGCAUUUAGGACAAAGUAUCACUAAUAAAAAAAAUACAUUCUGAAAAAUAGCGGCAUCUAAUGUAGCAAGAAAAAAAAAGAGACAUUUUUAACUUCAUAAGAUAACAAAUGCCACAAACAAUUUAUCACCCAAAAUUAUUCUUGUUAUAGCAAACAAAUUUCCAACUAUGAAGAAAUGCAACAUAACAUAUGUAAUGGGUGGCCUAUUAUGUAUACAAACAUAUGUUCUUACAUACAUAAAUGUGUAUGUGCUUACACACAUACACACAAAUAUAUAAGAGGGAGAGGCUAAACGCUUUGCAUGAACCCCUUGAAUAUAAGGUGUUAACUAAUUUUAAAUUCACCAAUAGGUUAUCCUAAUUGAGGAUCCAACCCAAAUGCAACAUGAUCUACAUAAUAACAAAUCAUUAAAAACAAAAAAUCAUAUAUAUAUUGAUACAAUAUAUCCAUCAAAUUGGUAGGAAAAUAAAUGAUAUUAAUUACAUUAGUGCGGUAAGUUACAUGGCAGGGAAUAGAAAUUAUAAAAUCACUUCCCAUACCAUAAUAUACACAUCUUAAGACAAAGAUAGAUUUAAAUUCAUAAAAAAAUUUAAUCAUUAAAUCAUGUACAGUGUAUGUUUAUAUAUAUAUAUAUAUAUAUAUCAGUCAACGUGGGAUCUAACAUAAUAACCUAAGCCAUUAGAUUUGAUAUACUAUCUUUCAACUACUAAAAAACAAAAUAUCAUUUCAUCUAGAGAUUUUAAACUAUGCAUCAAGUGCUCAAAAAUAGAUAGUUUAAAUAAAAUGAACCAAUAUUUAUUUUUUAACCACUAGAUUUAUAGAAUUUGGAUUUCCAAAUCAUAUGAUUAUCCUUGCUCAUCUUGCAUUUCAAUUGGUUAGGACCAACCUAACAUAUGCUAUUAUAUGGGCACCCAUACAAUAGCUCUACUCAUAUGUAGAGCCAUUUAGCAUUAUUUAUUAAAGAGAGAUUGCAUCAUGGGAUGUAUAAUAUAGUGGGAUCAAAUUUGCCUAUAAAACGAGAAAACGAAAAGUCACCUUGUGGCUUACCAAAAAAAGGGUCACCUUGUGGAGCUACGGCCAUGGGGAUGAGAGAACCGCCUGACAACAGAAGGAUGAUUAAUAGGAGAAGAGCCUUCAGAACCAUAUUGUUCUCAUAUAUAGACGGUACGAGCAAUAAACAUAUCUACCUGGAUAUAUAUAUAAGCUAGCGGA